UGGGGAAUAUUGCACAAUGGGCGCAAGCCUGAUGCAGCCAUGCCGCGUGUAUGAAGAAGGCCUUCGGGUUGUAAAGUACUUUCAGUCGGGAGGAAGGUGGUAAGGUUAAUAACCUUAUCAAUUGACGUCACCGACAGAAGAAGCACCGGCUAACUCCGUGCCAGCAGCCGCGGUAAUACGGAGGGUGCAAGCGUUAAUCGGAAUUACUGGGCGUAAAGCGCACGCAGGCGGUUGAUUGAGUCAGAUGUGAAAUCCCCGGGCUUAACCCGGGGAUUGGAUCUGAUACUGGGCAGCUAGAGUCUUGUAGAGGGGGGUAGAAUUCCAUGUGUAACGGUGAAAUGCGUAAAGAUGUGGAGGAAUACCGGUGGCGAAGGCGGCCCCCUGGACAAAGACUGACGCUCAGGUGCGAAAGCGUGGGGAGCAAACAGG
rnacentral:rRNA from 1 species